rnacentral:rRNA from 1 species
UACGGAGGGAGCUAGCGUUGUUCGGAAUUACUGGGCGUAAAGCGCACGUAGGCGGCUUUGUAAGUUAGAGGUGAAAGCCCGGGGCUCAACCCCGGAAUUGCCUUUAAGACUGCAUCGCUUGAGUCCAGGAGAGGUGAGUGGAAUUCCGAGUGUAGAGGUGAAAUUCGUAGAUAUUAGGAAGAACACCAGUGGCGAAGGCGGCUCACUGGUCCGGUACUGACGCUGAGGUGCGAAAGCGUGGGGAGCAAACAGG